UACGUAGGGGGCAAGCGUUGUCCGGAAUCAUUGGGCGUAAAGCGCGUGUAGGCGGUUCGAUAAGUCUGCUGUGAAAGUCCAGGGCUCAACCCUGGGAUGCCGGUGGAUACUGGCGGGCUAGAGUGCGGAAGAGGCGAGUGGAAUUCCCGGUGUAGCGGUGAAAUGCGCAGAUAUCGGGAGGAACACCAAUUGCGAAGGCAGCUCGCUGGGACGUAACUGACGCUGAGACGCGAAAGCGUGGGGAGCAAACAGG
rnacentral:rRNA from 1 species